GAUGAACGCUGGCGGCGUGCCUAAUACAUGCAAGUCGAGCGAACGGACGAGAAGCUUGCCUCUCUGAUGUUAGCGGCGGACGGGUGAGUAACACGUGGAUAACCUACCUAUAAGACUGGGAUAACUUCGGGAAACCGGAGCUAAUACCGGAUAAUAUUUUGAACCGCAUGGUUCAAAAGUGAAAGACGGUCUUGCUGUCACUUAUAGAUGGAUCCGCGCUGCAUUAGCUAGUUGGUAAGGUAACGGCUUACCAAGGCAACGAUGCAUAGCCGACCUGAGAGGGUGAUCGGCCACACUGGAACUGAGACACAGUCCAGACUCCUACGGGAGGCAGCAGUAGGGAAUCUUCCGCAAUGGGCGAAAGCCUGACGGAGCAACGCCGCGUGAGUGAUGAAGGUCUUCGGAUCGUAAAACUCUGUUACUAGGGAAGAACAUAUGUGUAAGUAACUGUGCACAUCUUGACGGUACCUAAUCAGAAAGCCACGGCUAACUACGUG
rnacentral:rRNA from 1 species